AGUUUGAUCCUGGCUCAGGAUGAACGCUAGCGGCAGGCCUAAUACAUGCAAGUCGAACGGUGAUAGCAAUAUCAUAGUGGCGCACGGGUGCGUAACACGUAUGCAACCUACCUAUCAUUGGGGGAUAGCCUUUGGAAACGGAGAUUAAUACCGCAUAAUACGAUUGACUGGCAUCGGUUGAUUGUUAAAGCUUCGGCGAUAAUAGAUGGGCAUGCGUCCAAUUAGUUAGUUGGUUAGGUAACGGCUGACCAAGACGAUGAUUGGUAGGGGAUCUGAGAGGAUAAUCCCCCACACUGGCACUGAGAUACGGGCCAGACUCCUACGGGAGGCAGCAGUAGGGAAUAUUGGGCAAUGGGCGGAAGCCUGACCCAGCCAUGCCGCGUGCAGGAAGAAGGCGUUAUGCGUUGUAAACUGCUUUUUUAUAGGAAGAAGGAUCCCUUGCGAGGGAAGGUGACGGUACUAUAAGAAUAAGCACCGGCUAACUCCGUGCCAGCAGCCGCGGUAAUACGGAGGGUGCAAGCGUUGUCCGGAUUUAUUGGGUUUAAAGGGUGCGUAGGCGGUUUAUUAAGUCAGUGGUGAAAGACGGUCGCUCAACGAUUGCAGUGCCAUUGAUACUGGUAGACUUGAGUGAG
rnacentral:rRNA from 1 species